rnacentral:lncRNA from 1 species
ACCCUCUUUAUUUUACAGAUACAGCUUCUGAGGAUCACGGGGAUGAAAGGCAUGAACUGGGCUCACACAGCUAAUGCAUUAGGACACCAGAAAAGGAAGAAAAGACAGUGGCAGCUGAAGACAUUUCAGGAAUGCUUCACUGAGAACCUAAGUCUUGUUCUGGGCCAUAAAGAAAAGGGGAGGGUGUGGUUUCUAUACCAGAGAUAAGAAAGGAGAAAAUUGGACGUGGAGGAAAGAUAUGAGUACCAAUCCGAGCGAACAAGGAAGAGUGAGUAAAUCUGUCCAGCUGGAGUUGGAGUGAAAAAGGUGCCUGCUUCUCCUUCUGCCAUGAUUAUAAGUUUCCUGAGGCUUCCCCAGCCAUGCGUAACUGAGUGAGGACCUAGAAUUUUAAUGUCUAAUAUGCGGUGUGAAUUAAAGAAGCGGCCUUGCUAUGCUGACCUUUUCAAUAUUCUAAUCUUUGCUUUGCUGACCUCUCAGGCCUCUUCCUGGCAACAGUUAGGCUUUUGAGAGGAGAGAGAGCUGAGACUGUUGGCUCCUUCCCAUUUAUGAGAGAGCCACAUGACAUCAGCCCAUAGACUGUGGAGAGUAUUCCAGAUCUAUCACAUUCUGCGAUUCUGCGAUUCCCAGAAGGCUGGUCAUGAAAAAAUUCCCUCUUCAGUUUACAUAUAUGGCAGUGGCACUUCUAGAUAUCUGUUGAGGCCUGGAAGGGGCAAAACAAUUCAGGAAGCAGUUGAAGAUAAAGGGGUUUACCAUGGAAGAGAAGAUCCAGGUGCCUUCAUGGAAAUGCUUGUGGUUGAAAAGAGAUGAAGAUGAGGGUCCCUGGAAAGAGGAAGAACCAGCCAGGAAAAUUAUACCAUUAGCAAGACUGGCAUCAGCAAGUAGUUCGCAGUGUUGGUUGUUCUUGGUUUCGCAGGAUUUUAUAGGAGAUGGACCUUCUCCUAAAAGUCUUAUCUUCUAAGUCUCCUAAGUCUUGGACUUUUCAAGGCCAAAGAUUUAAAGGCCAAGUGGACCAUACGGGAGAUCUAGUUUCCCAUCCAGACAGCCAAGCUCAUGCAUCCCUGGAUUUGGAUGGAUGGUUUCCCAUGGGGCCUUGGACAGAUUGGACCCAGCACUGGCACAGGGUUGACUUGGAGGAAUAAGCUCCUGGAAACCUCAAUUAGCGUUUGGGGUAUGAACAUUAAACAAUACUGAAUCUGGAAACAAUACAUCACACAGCGGGUCCAAGGAAAUAAGCAGAAGGCUGGCAGCAGGCCAGGGCCAGGGGCCAAAUCGCUCCUCAAAGACAAUUCUUCAUGGAGAAAUGACAGCAGGUUUGAGGACAGCAGAAUUUCGCUCUUGUUGCCCAGGGCUGGAGUGCAAUGGUGCAAUCUCGGCUCACCACAACCACUGCCUCCUGGGUUCAAGCGAUUCUCCUGCCUCAGCCUCCUGAGUAGCUGGGAUUACAGGAAGUACAAAAACAUCCUUGCCGUUUGCUGGAAUGAUGUACUGCUGAAGGCAAUGGACACUGGGGUUGUUUGUCCCUAAUCACAAGUGAGCAAUACCAGAUCUAUUAUCUCAGGUUCAGAGAAGUGAGGUGUCUGACCUUCAGACAGGAUUGAAUGCAGAGUAAAAUAAUUCCAAAUAUGGUCUGGGCAUUGCAUGUAAUACAGAGUAAAAGUUAUUGUAAGACACUUUCGCCAGUUUCUGUCACUUGGUUCCUCAAAUGUUUAGUUCAUUCUAAUUACAUAAUCAGCCUUCUGAUUCAAUGAAGACUGAUGGGAUUGCUGACUUGCCACCCUGGAGUUCAGUUGGCAGCAAGUGAGGGAAAAGGUGAACUCUGUAAACAAGGUUUAGAAGCCCUUUUCUUAACUCUUUAUAAAACAGAGAAGAUGAGGAAGGAGAAAGGCACUGUCAUUAAGCUCUUAGCCAGGGAAUUACACAUACACACACGUGUGUGUGUGUGUAUUUCAACUCAAUGUACAAGGACUUCUCAGCCCAUAGCUACUUUGAACACAUUGUUUAUCCCCCAUAGCAUGAAGGACUAAAGGAACCAGAGAUUUCAUAAUCUCUGGCCUGUAACGUUUUUGCUGAAAUAUCUGCUGUUAUUCUAAUGGGGUUUCCUUUAAAGGUGACUAGUCACUCUUCUUUUGCUAAUUAAUUUUUUUUUUCACUUUGACUUUAGACAUUCUGAAUAUAAUAUGCUAUGAUGAAGCACUUUAUGCAAUGUAUAUUCCUGAGGAUUGCUGGGCCUCCUGUAACUAGAUGUCUGACUCUCUUGCUAGAUGUGGAAAGUUUUCAUCAAUUAUUUUCUUAAACAGGUUUUCUAAGCUUUUAAAUAAUCUUUCUUUCCCAUCAGGAAUACCAAUAAUUUCUAAUUUCAGUCACUUUAUGUAGUCCCAGACAUCUCAAAGGCUUUGUGCACUCCCUUUUAUACUUUUUUGUUGUCGUUAUCUUUGUCUUACUGGAUUAUUUCAAAAGACUUAUCUUCAAGUUCUGAGAUUCUUUCUUCUGCUUGAUCUAUUCUGUUAUUGAAGCUUUCAAAUACAUUUUGCAUUUCCUUCAAUAGUUUUUUUAGGUUUAGAUUUUCUGCUUUUGCUUUAUAAGAUACCCAUCUCCUUGAUACAUUUCUCAUUAAUAUCCUGAGUUAAUUUUCUAAUUUCUUGAAGUUGGCCCAAGGGUGGAAUGCAGCCCCGUGUUAAACUCUCAAAACUGUGCCUUGGGCCUGUGACCAGACAGAGCAGAUUUCUUCUCAAGUAAGUAGCAUAGAAAAGAGAGAUCCAAAUAAACACAAUCAUAAAUGAAAAAGGAGACAUUAUAGCUGAUAACACAGAGGCACAAAGAUCAUCAGAGACUAUUAUAAAUAACUAUAUGAUCACAAACC